AUCUGAGGAUGUGACUACCGAUGGAUAUGGAAAGCUUGCAUUCCAUUGAAAAUACAAAUCAUUAUGUGGCAACUGUCAGAGGAUGCGGUACUGACUAGAGAUGUGAUGAAACAUCGGGGGUGGAAAGGGGAGCCUAAAUGCUCGUUCUGCGAGGAAAGAGAAACCUCCCAGCACUUGUUUUUUACUUGUCCAAUUGCCAGGGUGACAUGGAGAGUUGUUGCGUGCAUGUUUGGUACAGAACUAUGCCCUGACAAUAUGUGGCAAGCUUAUUCCUGGUGCUCCUUCUUCCGAGGAGGAGAGAUAUUCUAUACGGUUCGCAAUGCAGCUUUUUGCUGGGCAACAUGGACAUGUUGUAACAGAGCUACAUUCGAGUUCAGACCACUUAAAACCCCGUUUGAAUGCAUUUUCUCUACUUGUGCUCUUCUAUGUUAUCAGGCAGGUCUGAUGAAGCAGGAGGAUGCGGCUGAUCUGAGGACAUGGGGAAUCAUGCUGCAGAACAACGCCUCGAGACUGAUGCAAAUCUAUGCUGCCGCAAAUCAGGAUGAUGGGGCUCGCUAA
rnacentral:rRNA from 1 species